rnacentral:lncRNA from 1 species
UCCAUGCACAUGCCGCCCUCUCCCCGCCAGGUAACUAACUAUAGCCCCAUAUGGGAGGAAUUUCCAGACACCGUUUGGAUGACAUAGGGUUAUAAAUCCCGGCCAACAAAAAUACAUUCAAACAAUUAGGAAAAAGUCACCAAUUUUUAGAAAUGCUAUUGUCGAGUAGAAAUUCAGCACGAUUAUUACAUAAAAACUAUUAGUUCAUCACAAUAUUCUAUAGAUUAUUAGUUACAAACAAAACUAUUUGAUAUAGAAAAAUAAAUAGGACCUAUCUAGCCAUUUUGAUCUAGGCACAAGCACAAAUCUAGUACGUUUAUCCAACUACAUAAGGGCACUCACAAUGCAGACUCUAUCAUAGAGUCUAAAGUUAUUUAUUACCUCGAACAAUGUGGACUUAGAGUCUAAAUAAGACUUGGAGUCUUAUUUUUUCUACCUCUUUCUUCAAUAAAUAUGUUGUCACAUCAGCAAAAUAUCAUAAAUAAUAUGUAAUUAAUUGUCUUGGACUCUGUGAUAGAGUCUUGUAUUGUGAAUGCCCUAACCAGCAAAGAUACGACCAUAGUCUAUAAAUCCUUGCAAUCAACACUUACAAAAAUCAUCAAUAGCAUGACUAAACGAUAGCCAAAACUUGCAUGGUUAGGCCUGCAAUUACAUGAAGAGAGAAGUCAACAUCAGCAGCCUAAAAAUAGGUUACAACAAAAAAAUAUAAAGCCCAAAAUUAUUUCGAAUGAAUACAUAAUGAAAACGAACUAUAGAAAAAGUAAGGUGUUGUCCCUUUUAUGGAGUAUCAGGCAAACAAGAAUAAGGGAUUUUCUUCUAACAUUGGCAAAGAAAUAAAAAUAAGAAAGUUAAACAAGCAAAAGAACUAUGAAACUAUCUUAGAGAUAAGAGGUUUUACACAAAAAACUCAGUACAAAUUAAAUUAGUAAGCAUACAAACAUAACAGUGAAUGUCAGCAGCACAACGAAGAACAGGAUUACAGGGCAGGUCCAGGGCUGUAAAACCCCCAGUCCCCACCCUACCCGCAGCCCAUGUUUCCCCUUUUUAGCCCUAUAUAUAAGCACGGAACCUUGAUUAAAGCGUGUAACCAUGAUUAACAUGCCAAAAACUAUGGUUUACAUCUAUAUCUCAUUAUUAACCACCUUCCUUGUCCCAUUCCAAGCUCUGCCCCUGAGUACAGUGGCACCAGAUCAAAUAAGAAAAGUUGCAUGCAGAACAGAAAAUUCAGUUCUAAGCAAAUAUGGAUUGAAGCUAAUUGUCCAAUUAAAUUGACAUGUAAAAUAAUCUGUCUCUAAAAAUGAAGAUCUAAAAGUGAAGAUAGAAACAGACAUCUGCUAAAGUAAAGCCAGAUGCAAAGAACUAUAUAAUUAUCUAAAUAGAUGAAAAAGUGCAUCUCGCGCAACAUGGAAGAGAUGAAGAGAAAUUUUCCGUCAAAUUAUGUAUAUCUUGGUGAGUUAUCCAAGCAUUCCAUUCCAUUUGAUGGUCUGGACUCUGGGCAUGUCAUGUGGCGAAAGCGUAGUGCAGCACCAAGCUAGUGGAAACCAAAAAUACAGUUCACAUUGUUAACACUGUUUUUUUAGUCUUAAGUACAAACACAGGAUGCAUUCGCAUUGUUACCACGGUUAUCAUACAUUGCAUGGAUCUGUCAUAAUAUAGUUAUGAUGUUAUAUACGAUAUGUCUGUGCCUGUACCAAAUGUGGAAUACCAUUAAUCAUGGAUCCAACCAGCUUUUCCUCCCCUGCAACAAAUCUACUCAGAAAGGCAAAAUUAGUUGCUAAAACCAAAAUGCAACAGAAAUCCUUUUCUUAGGAAAAUAGAACAAUAGAUGUCUGCAAGGUAAUAACCCUGUAUAUUCCUAAUGGAAGAAAAUAGAAAGAAUGGUAACUAAAAGGACAACAUAUUAUACUAAGCAUGCUUCACAUACAUGAAGAGUGAAGUUGAUCCUCGAGGAAAAAUAAUUUGAUUUCACUGAAUGAGGGUUUCCUGAUAAUUUGCCAUCUAAAAGCACACUUCAGAUACAUUCCUUUAUAUCAGUGUGGACCAAUUUUUUUAGAGAUAAUUUUGCAUCCUCCACCUCCAAAGAAUACUAUACAUUGCCUAAGGAAAUCUUGGUUUGCGAGCAAGAGAGAUAAUUUAGGAUGAAUUAUGUUGAGAAAUUUGAUAAGUUAGCUGCUGCAGUCAUCGAAUCUUCAGGAACAAGACAUACCAGGUGAUUUAUAGAAUGACUGUCUGUGAAUACAUACUGGCUCAUUGUAAAUAAAAGCUAAUACUGAUCAGGGCAAAACAGAACAAUCUCCAUUUGCAAAUGCUUAUACAAGACUGACAAAAGGAUGGACAUAUUUGGUUGUUUCUAACAUUUUGUUGCUGAAAAAAUCAAACCGUUUCCCACCGUACUGUGCUUGUCCAACUACUGAAGCCUGAAGCCCCGUCUGAAUUCUGAAAUGCGGAAAAUGUUUCAUUGUUCCCGAAGAAAUUGAAUAUCAGAGUUCUGACGGAUUUUGAUAGAACUCAUUGUUCCAGUGUUGAAGCUGAUCUGUUCAUGAGUUAAUCGAUCUAACUAUCAUGAUUUCAUAUACAUAAACUGAUAAACACUUCAAUCGGCCUUAAGCAAAACUGUUUCCUUUCAAGAACACUUGCACGCGGACAACUACCGACCAACUCCAAGAACUGAGCGGCAAAUCUUGCACGGCAGAGUAAAGAAGUACUUACCGCACCAGUGCAGGCUGCAGCAAGCACCAUGGCUGCCCCAGGCCCGCAGGAGCAGGGCCGCCGGCCGCGCCCGCUUCCCACUUCGCCGUCACGGCGUGUGUGCGCGUCAGUCCCUCACGGAGGAGAGGAGCUCUGGAUCCCGCCGGGCGCCAUGG